GUGGAAUUGUCUGUAGGCCAUUAAGUAUCCUCUGUGUCCCCUUGCUUCCCAGAGCUCUCUUCUCUCUUUGCUUGUUCAGAUGUUGGAAGAGUCUGGAGUAGCAAGUGUAUUGGGUAGAUUCUUUCGCCUGCCUUAGCUCUCUGUGACUGUGACGGCGAUGGGUAAUCUUCCAUGUCACCCUGACUGCAUUGAAAAGCAGCUAGGAGAUGUGAAGACCAAGGCUCUGAGAACUUCUGCAACACCACCAGAAGAGAGUAGCUAGGAGAAAGGCCCCACCCUGAGUGAAUGUCAUCACUUAAGUUGGGGUCCUAAUGGAAUCAAGAAGAAAAGAGGAGAGUCCACGGCAGGCCUUCCCCUUCUGCUCCCUGACCACCAUGAUGUGAGCUUCUCUGUCAGGAUGGACCGCACAGGCCUUCCCCUUCUGCUCCCUGACCACCAUGAUGUGAGCCUUUGUCAGGAUGGACCUAGGUCUGUGAAGCUGUGCGUCCAGAUAAAUCUUCCUUUAACUUGUCUUUCUCAGAUAUUUGUCACAACCGAAAAACUGAUGAUUACAAAUUACCGGAGACAAACAGCACAUAAGAAAAGAAGGUUCACUAGCAAAAAGCGAGAGAGGAAGGGACAGAGGUCCUACAUUACUUUCUUUCCCUUUUUUCUGUGAUCCAAUACCCUGACAAAAGCAGCAGAAGAAAGGCUUUACCCUGGCUCACAGUUCAAUCGUUCAUUCCAUCAGGACAGGAAAUUCACGGAAGGCCCACAGGAAGUCAGUGACACUGUAGUCACAGUCUGGAAGCAGAGAGUGGGCAGGAAAUGCAACAUUCUGUGACCUAGUUCUUCCAACAAAGUUUAACUUCUUAGCAGUGUUACCUUUCCCAAAAGGUACACUCACUCUCCCUGGGCCGAGUAUUCAGAAACAUGAGCUUGAGGGGACAUUUAGUCAGGACAGCCCCUCGAGGGCAUACUUCCCAAAGGCCUAACUUCCUUUCACCAGAUCCUACCCCCUAAAACUCCACUACAUCAAGUCAGCAGCUCCAGCUGGUAGCAAAGCCCUUGGCAUAUGAGCCUUUGGGGCUCCCACUCCACAACACCCAGGGCAGUCACUGCAUUUCUCCCUCUUCUCAACCACAGAAAAAUAUAAAAAUAAAUAAAAUAAAAAUGGGCAAAA